rnacentral:lncRNA from 1 species
AUGAAAAAAAAAAAAAAAAAAUUUUUUUUUUUCUCUCCCCACAGGCAUAUUCUAGAAAAGAAGAGGAAGAGGAGUGAGAUUUCCCUGUUCCCCAAGCUGAAAAGUCCCAGAGUCAAAAUGGCUGCACUAAGACGAUCUCAUCAGAAUGUCAUGUGUCCAGUUCUUCAACAGGUGAGGCAUGAUUCUGUUGUGAAAGUGUAAUGUUGAAAUGGGUAGACUUAGAAACACACAUCCUAGUGCAGGCCUGUGUGUGAGUGUGCCUGCUGGCAAAAAAGGCUGGGGAGAAGAGCAUAGCCCCAGACUGAGCUGUGAUCAAAAGCUAGAAGACCUAGAAAGCCUAAAACCAGGCUUCCCUUGGACCAGAGAAGAGAAAUAAGUGAGCGGUCAGAGAGGACUGAAACGCUCAGCUAAGUCCCUCGCUUGGCUAGGAUUUGCUCAGUAAAUCAGGGGCAGAAAGCAGUUAGUGCCAACACAGCUCCUUCCUCUCCUGAGACCCACGGUGACACAGCCCAUCCAUCAUAGAGUUCACUCCCACGGAGCCCAGGAACACUGCAGAUUCCCUCUCAACAUAACUGCUCCAGGUAGAUUUUCCCUUGAACACUGUCACUGGGACAGGUUACAUAAUUUGCAGGGCCCAGUGCAUGAAAAUGUAGGGGCCAAUAUUCAAAAAUUGCUGAGUUUCAAGAUGACUGGAGGAGAGUAUUAAGCCAGUGUGAGGCCCUUCUGAGCAUGGGGCUGUGAUCUUAAACCCACAAAGUCAGCCUUGUCUGCCACAGGUCAGAUGGUCUGCAUGCAGGCAGCUUACUGUGGAGAACUACUGGAAACCCAUCUGUAAGGGAUGAGGCAGCAGGACAGGGCAAGGGGAGAAGUAGCAGGCUUUUCACAUCAGGUGGCCAAAGUAUUGGAGCUUCAG